rnacentral:rRNA from 1 species
UACAGAGGUCUCAAGCGUUGUUCGGAUUCAUUGGGCGUAAAGGGUGCGUAGGCGGCGCGGUAAGUCGGGUGUGAAAUCUUGGAGCUUAACUCCGAAACUGCAUUCGAUACUGCCGUGCUUGAGGACUGGAGAGGAGACUGGAAUUUACGGUGUAGCGGUGAAAUGCGUAGAUAUCGUAAGGAAGACCAGUGGCGAAGGCGGGUCUCUGGACAGUUCUUGACGGCUGGAGGCACGAAGGCCAGGGGGAGCAAACGGGG